rnacentral:pre_miRNA from 7 species
GUCUGACACUUCGUGGAGGCAAGCUCUCCUCUGGUAGGGUGCACUUGAAAGACCCCCGAAGGGAGACCCUCACUCAAGCCUCGGGAUAUGGUGCGGACCCAAAUGAGACGCGGAGACUG